rnacentral:rRNA from 1 species
GACGAACGCUGGCGGCGUGCUUAACACAUGCAAGUCGAACGGAAAGGCCCUGCUUUUGUGGGGUGCUCGAGUGGCGAACGGGUGAGUAACACGUGAGUAACCUGCCCUUGACUUUGGGAUAACUUCAGGAAACUGGGGCUAAUACCGGAUAGGAGCUCCUGCUCCAUGUGGGGGGUUGGAAAGUUUCGGCGGUUGUGGAUGGACUCGCGGGUUAUCCGCUUGUUUGUGGGGUAGUGGCUUACCAAGGCUUUGACGGGUAGCCGGCCUGAGAGGGUGAACAGCCACCUUGGGACUGCGAUACGGCCCAGACGCCUACGGGAGGCAGCAGGGGGGAAUAUUGCACAAUGGGGGGAAGCCUGAUGCAGCAACGCUGCGUGCGUGAUGCUGGCUUUCGGGUUGUGAACCGCUGUGGCAGGUGACGAAGCGUGAGUGACGGUAAUGGGUAAAGAAGCACCGGCUAACUACGUG